rnacentral:rRNA from 1 species
UGGUGGCGAGGUGGCGAACGGGUGAGUAAAGCAUACGGAACGUCGCCCGUGGAGUGGGGAGUAACGUAGCGAAAGUUACGCUAAUACCGCAUAUUCUGUGAGCAGGAAAGCAGGGGAUCGCAAGACCUUGCGCUCUGGGAGCGGCCGAUGUCGGAUUAGCUAGUUGGUGGGGUAAAGGCCUACCAAGGCGACGAUCCGUAGCGGGUCUGAGAGGAUGAUCCGCCACACUGGGACUGAGACACGGCCCAGACUCCUACGGGAGGCAGCAGUGGGGAAUUUUGGACAAUGGGCGGAAGCCUGAUCCAGCCAUGCCGCGUGAGUGAAGAAGGCCUUCGGGUUGUAAAGCUCUUUCGGCCGGGAAGAAAUCGCAUGGGUCAAUACCCCUGUGUGGAUGACGGUACCGGAAUAAGAAGCACCGGCUAACUACGUGCCAGCAGCCGCGGUAAUACGUAGGGUGCGAGCGUUAAUCGGAAUUACUGGGCGUAAAGCGUGCGC